rnacentral:rRNA from 1 species
CCUACGGGGGGCAGCAGUGGGGAAUAUUGCACAAUGGGGGAAACCCUGAUGCAGCGACGCCGCGUGAGUGAAGAAGUAAUUCGUUACGUAAAGCUCUAUCAGCAGGGAAGAAAAUGACGGUACCUGAGUAAGAAGCCCCGGCUAACUACGUGCCAGCAGCCGCGGUAAUACGGAGGGUGCAAGCGUUAUCCGGAUUUACUGGGUGUAAAGGGAGCGUAGACGGCUGUGCAAGUCUGAAGUGAAAGGCCGGGGCCCAACCCCGGGAGUGCUUUGGAAACUGUGCGGCUAGAGUGUCGGAGAGGCAA